CGGCUUGCCUGGCAGAGGCGAUGCCGGGACCACGAAGGUGGUUUCCCCGGGGCGAGGGUCAGGCCCUGCACUCCGGACAUGCCGACCCCUGCAGGCCCCCCAACUGUGGGACCCCGGACGCAGAGUCUGGUCAUGGGGGGCUCGUCUGCACCGUCCCCAG